rnacentral:rRNA from 1 species
GAUUAACGCUGGCGGCGUGCAUAACACAUGCAAGUCGAACGAAGUGGCGGACGGGUGAGUAACGUGUGAGUAACCUGCCUUAGAGAAGGGGAUAGCCUUUGGAAACGAAGAAUAAUACCCUAUACCCUAAGAUGGUCUUGCGUCUGAUUAGUUAGUUGGUGAGGUAACGGCCCACCAAGACGGAGAUCAGUAGCCGGCAUGAGAGAGUGUACGGCCACAUUGGGACUGAGACACGGCCCAGACUCUACGAGAGGCAGCAGUGGGGAAUUUUGCACGAUGGGGGAAACCCUGAUGCAGCGGCGCCGCGUGAUUUAGAAGGCCUUCGAGUCGUAAAGUACUUUUAUAUGGGAAGCGGUACCAUAAGAAAAAGCCCCGGCUAACUACGUGCCAGCAGCCGCGGUAAUUC